rnacentral:rRNA from 1 species
CCUACGGGGGGCAGCAGUGGGGAAUAUUGGGCAAUGGGCGCAAGCCUGACCCAGCAACGCCGCGUGAAGGAAGAAGGCCCUCGGGUUGUAAACUUCUUUUAUUCGGGACGAAACAAAUGACGGUACCGAAUGAAUAAGCCACGGCUAACUACGUGCCAGCAGCCGCGGUAAUACGUAGGUGGCAAGCGUUAUCCGGAUUUACUGGGUGUAAAGGGCGUGUAGGCGGGAGAGCAAGUCAGACGUGAAAUUCCAGGGCUCAACCCUGGAACUGCGUUUGAAACUGUUCUUCUUGAGUGAUGGAGAGG